CGAAUGGGCGAAAGCCUGACCCAGCAACGCCGCGUGCGCGAUGAAGGCCUUCGGGUCGUAAAGCGCUUUUCGGGGAGAUGAGGAAGGACAGUAUCCCCGGAAUAAGGUACGGCUAACUACGUGCCAGCAGCCGCGGUAAAACGUAGGUACCGAGCGUUAUCCGGAUUCACUGGGCGUAAAGCGCGUGCAGGUGGUUUGGUAAGUCGGGCAUGAAACCUCUUGGCUCAACUGAGAGACGCUGUCCGAUACUGCCGGACUUGAGGGCAUAAGAGGGAGGUGGAAUUCCGCAUGUAGUGGUGAAAUGCGUAGAUAUGCGGAGGAACACCAGUGGCGAAGGCGGCCUCCUGGUAUGCUCCUGACACUCAGACGCGAAAGCUAGGGGAGCGAACGGGAUUAGAAACCCCGGUAGUCCUAGCUGUAAACGAUGAUUACUAGGUGUUAGUGGUAUCAAGCCCACUAGUGCCGAAGCUAACGCGAUAAGUAAUCCGCCUGGGGACUACGAUCGCAAGAUUA
rnacentral:rRNA from 1 species